UACGUAGGGGGCAAGCGUUGUCCGGAUUUACUGGGCGUAAAGCGCCUGUAGGCGGCCUGUCAAGUCCGGCCUGAAAGCCCCCCGCUCAACGGGGGAGGGUGGCUGGAAACUGGCAGGCUUGAGGGCGAGAGAGGAGGGUGGAAUUCCUGGUGUAACGGUGAAAUGCGCAGAUAUCAGGAGGAACACCUAUUGCGAAGGCAGCUCGCUGGGACGUAACUGACGCUGAGACGCGAAAGCGUGGGGAGCGAACAGG
rnacentral:rRNA from 1 species